rnacentral:misc_RNA from 1 species
UGCCUUAAUAGGCUUAAAAGCUUGUUGAAUAUGUAACUAUUAACUAUUGCCAUAAGUUAGGUUAGGAACAUGUUCAACAAGCUUUUAAGCCUAUUAAGGCAGGGCUGCCCACAACAAAACCCAAAUGAACAAAAUAGUUCUCCGUCUCAAAGCUAGCCCUACUGAUUAUCAAUUACAGUAAGAGAAGAACUCUAUCUUAACCUAGGGCUUAUCUGCACAAAGAACUUGGGGAAUGAGUACUGGUACCGAGUCAGUGAGCAAAUUAAAACUAUCAAAAUUCAGGACAAAAAAUUUCGUCCAUUGCAGCGAAAGAUAAGAGGUAUUCCAAGGAUGAUCACAUUUCUUAGCCUAGCGUUUAACCUUGCGAGGACAGUGAGCUGCCUUUGACUGAGACUUCUUUAGCUUAAAAUUCUUGCCUUUGGAUUUAAAUCCAUCAUCAUCAGAAUCAUCACUUCCACCCCAAAACCUCCGUUUGAACUUCUUCUCAGCACUUCCACAAAUAACAAUCUUACCCUCGUCCUUCUGUUCCACGACUUCAGACUUCUCCUUGGGCUUCCAAAUGAAAAGGGACCUUGAACUGCCAGAUGCCAAAAUAUCAUCCCGAGGGUGUAGCUUGUUCACAGGACUGAUGGUUGUGAUAUUUGGAUCCAUAACUUCGGCAACUAAUUGCCCAGUGCUGACAUCUAUGAAAUCAAUGGGAUGCAAAGCAGCACCAUUAUAAUUUUCACUUAUAUAACGACCAAUAACUGCGAGAGACUCUGAAGGGUCCUUAGGAUCCCAUUCAGCUCGAAAAGGAGUCAGAUGUCUGUUGAAAUCAUGACUAUGUACAAUCUCUCGGCUUGGGGAGUCCAAAUUUCCAAAUAUAGAAUCCCACACACGAAGACGGUUAUCUUGUGCAGUUGUAAGAAUUUUGCUGCCAGACAGUGGAGAGAAAUAUGCACAAUUAACAACACGUUUAUGCACCAGAUCACUAAGAGAAGAUCCUGCUUCGAGUCGACGCAUAUCCCAUAUACGAGCAAAAUGAUCAUUUCCACAGCUCAAAAGAAGCUCUGGAUGAACAGGAUUGCAAUGAAGGCCAACGACUUUGCUACCUUUCUUAUGGAUCAAAACUGCCUCCCCACAUUUAUUGUUGGAGCGCAUAUCUAUCAUAUAGAGAAAACCAAAGUUAUCAGCUAUAAGUACAACAUGUUUCUCUGAGUUGACAUCCAUGCCAUAAAGCAUUCUCCAGCUGCUUGGUCCCUGCCACCCAUCAGGGUUAAGGUUCAACAAAGAUGAUGAAAUUCCAGUCUCCAUGUCAGUGCAACUGAUGGUUCCAUCUGAGGAAGCAGCAUACACCAUACCAUCAUUUGAAGGGUUGAACCUCAUGUUAUUGACAAUACAAGUGUGUAUGUUUGCAUAUACCAUUUUUUCAUGCACUUUCUCAAAAUCCCAGACUCCAACUUGUCCUUUCUUAUCCCCAGAUAGAAGGAUGUUAUUUUUUGUUGGGUGAAAUUCCAAACAAGUCACCCGCCUGCUGUGAUAUCUAAUUACCGCACAACAUACCCGAUCUGGUAUGACAUAUGCUGGCUUUAUCGGGGGUAUGCUUGGUCUAAGCUGGCGCUGGAAAACAUAUUCCAAUGGAUUAUGCGUAUUUCUUAGGGGUGCUGGAAUGACCCCAUACUCAAUAGCCACUCUAUGCGGGCAUGUCAUCGUAGUGUGUCCAGGCAUUUUGCAGAGAAAACAGGGUUUCAUAGGGCAAUCUAUGUAUGUAGCUCCUUUAAAUCCCGCUUCAUGACCAGGUUUUUUGCAAACUUUGCAAACUUUCUUGAGACUAAUAGUAAUGGGAACUUUCCUCUGCUUCUUGGAAUCCAUAUCCUCUUCAUCUUUCUCUCCACUUCCAUUCUCUGUCACUCCUCCUCCUUCUGCAUCUGAUUCUGAUUGGGGAAUAUUCUCUUCUUCGUCAACAUCAUCCUCAUCGUCUGACGAGCUUUGCUCAGAGUCCGUGUCCCUCUCAAUCACCACUUUCGGAAACGCCAUUCUUCUCGUUUGAGGGGCCAUCUCCGAUAUUGUCCGCCUAAAAACAGCAACAAAUGA